UUACACAUUAUCUGAUGUGCACAGAAGAAGUGUUACCUUGGAACACAAAAUUAUAUCUAGACAAAUAAAACGAGCUAAUGUAAUUUAACUUUUUUCUUGUUGCAGUAAGUGAUAUCAAAGAUCCUCCUGAGCAGUUUAAAGGAGAGCACAACAUUGAAGAGUUUUGGGACUCAGUUAAUUUGGAAAUGAUUGCUCGUGGUUUUGUACAAAGCCGUGCAAAAAACCCGCUGGCCGUCUAUCCUAGUUUUGAUAGAUGGGCUCCAUGGAUUGGAGGACAUACAAGGAAGUCGGACAUAGUGCUGAACACGGAAUACCAAAAACUGUCCUCUGCCAAAGCCACAGCAGAAAGCGAAUUGGUUAUGGUAACUGAGGAGCGGCUUGUGGAUGAAUUAAGAAAACAGAAGGUCGGCAUUGUCCGAAAGCUGUGCAAAGCAUGCAACAUUGAUUCAAAGGGAUCCCAU